UUUAUUCAAUCAGUGGACGCUUAUUAAGGGUUUACUCUGUGCCAGGCACAGUUCCGGGAGCAGGGGAUCGGCAGUGAACAUUGUAAACAGAGUCCUGGUUUCCAGGAGCUCACAAAUCAAUGAAGGGAAGGAGUUUAUAAGUAAACAAACGAAUCCUUAAAUACCCAGUAGAGUGCUAUGAAGACAACAGAAGGGGGGUUGGGAAGGGGAUGGGCACUGAGACUGGAACAAAGAGAAAGAAAGAGACAGUCACUUGAAGACUUGAGGGCUGGGGCUUCUUCCCACAGCGGGAGCAGCAGGCGCAGGGGCUCUGAAGCAGGCAGCAGCUGAGCAGCGGCGCGGGUGGCGCAGAGUGGAGCCUCAGAGCCGGAGCAGGGGGCAAGCAGCGAGGAGCAAGAGAUCUACUCUCUACCCUUCUUUACCCUGUCUGUACCUUGGGAAUUUAAGCUGUACGGACCAUAUCAACCAGCUCCCUUGAGCUCUGGUUGGGUUUCUCCAGUCAGGAGUCCAGGCAGGAGAUGGGAAAACAGGAGAUGUUAUAAAAGAAGAAGUAAACAAUAUCUAUAUGGAAAGAAGCUACUUGAAAAAAGGUAUCCCAUAUAUCGAAGAAUUUUACCAGAAGAUUGAAACAAAGCCAUUUAAUAUUUUCAUCAAAUUGUGGUGUACAUAAGAAUUGGAGAUUUUCUCUAACCAAUUUUGAACAAAAAUUCUCUAAUCCUGAUCACUUCCCAUUCAUCUAGACCCAUCACUCCGGAAAAGAUAGAAGCAAGCAAGAGACAAUAUGGGAAAUAAGUUAUAAUUGUCUUUCAUUUUAAUUUUUCUCAAGAUGGUAUAAUGUUUUUCUCAGCUGUAAACUGGGCCAGGUCCACUUAUGGACAAUCAAGCCCAGCUCAAAGAAAAGAGCAGAAAACUUUUAAUCCACAUGGAGGCAAUCCUAGAAAUGAAGAACAAUCAUAAGUGACAAUGAAGGAAACAGAAGAACUUUCUAGAAUAUUUCCAACUUACCAAGGUCUAAGAUGUUUGUUCCAAGUUGGAAGUUUGGGACUCAGCGUCAGUUUACUCACAGGGAACAAGCAGUGGUAAGACAAACAUUCAGAAUACUUUAAUAUGGAAAUUAACUUUUGUUACUCAUUUUUUAUUGCCUUAAAUGGGUUUGAAGACUAGGCUCUUGCUCACUUCAAGGAUAGGUAAAUGAUUUUUGGUUAGUCCAGUCUUUGGGUUUGAUUAAAAUCAUUGUGUGAGUCUUGGAGGGAGUGUCUGCCACUUUGGAUGCCAGAGGGGGCCAGACAGUCGCUCUCCCUGCCCUGGCAGCGAGGACAUGGACACCUGUCCUAGACUCAGAAUCAGACCUGCCGCUCAGAACUUUUCACCUUGAAGAGGUGGCUCAAAAUUCAGGGGCAAUGAGAGAUUAGGCAUGGUGGUGCCUAUGACCACAAAUGCUCAGUGGUGGUGGCACCAACAAUAGUGUCACAGUGGGGAGAACCACAAAUGCUGAAAGAAGAUGCCAGAGUUGAAAAUGAGCUUUGAUGUCAAGGGGAGGUGGUGCUGACCACCGAAGACAAAGCGUCUGUGGAUAUCAUAAUAGCAGCUAUGCCAGUGUUGCUAUCAGAAUGAUCCAACCCACAAAUUCUUUGUAGUGGCACAUAGUUGGUGUUACUCAGAGAGUCCCUUGAAAAAAAUGUGUGGGCAGCCACUAAGAUUCUACUUGAGAAUAUGAGCUCCACGAUGGCCGAGAUUUUGACUGUCUUAUGCAAUGACGCAUCCCAAAUAUCUAGAGCAGUUUCUGUCACAUGAAGUGCUCAGUAAAUAUUUGUUGAGUCAAUGAAUUAAUAUAAAUAGGAGCCUAAAAUGAGCCAACCUGGCAGAAUAUCAGGUCCCUCAUCCAAUUUUCAGUCCUGAGCCAGAACUAGCAGCUCUUAAAUAAAAAGAAAGCAUUUUGCCCUU